GACGAACGCUGGCGGCGUGCUUAACACAUGCGAGUCGAACGGAAAGGCCCUGCUUUUGUGGGGUGCUCGAGUGGCGAACGGGUGAGUAACACGUGAGUAACCUGCCCUUGACUUUGGGAUAACUUCAGGAAACUGGGGCUAAUACCGGAUAGGAGCUCCUGCUGCAUGGUGGGGGUUGGAAAGUUUCGGCGGUUGGGGAUGGACUCGCGGCUUAUCAGCUUGUUGGUGGGGUAGUGGCUUACCAAGGCUUUGACGGGUAGCCGGCCUGAGAGGGUGACCGGCCACAUUGGGACUGAGAUACGGCCCAGACUCCUACGGGAGGCAGCAGUGGGGAAUAUUGCACAAUGGGCGGAAGCCUGAUGCAGCAACGCCGCGUGCGGGAUGACGGCCUUCGGGUUGUAACCCGCUUUCGCCUGUGACGAAGCGUGAGUGACGGUAAUGGGUAAAGAAGCACCGGCUAACUACGU
rnacentral:rRNA from 1 species